CUCCUCAAUUUGAAGGCAGAGAAGAAGCCAGCAGGAGAAGAUAAGCCCAAAAGACUACCAGGUACCUGUGGCUCAGGUCAAUCUCAGAAGAACCUGUUUCCCCAUGGCAUGCCACCGGUCUGUGAGAGGCAUAGUAAGAAGCCAUCAGGAUCCAGGAAGAAGUAUGAUGGUAUUAAGGACCGUGGGUUGCCAGAAAGCAAGCAACUCCAUACCCGUGAUGAGAUCAAUGAACCUGAAGAAGAAAAUGAUUAAUCAUAUUGUUGAAUGAACCCCCUGAUGUGAAGAAGAUGGAGGGCAUUGGGGAUCAUGGGCACAUGUCUUGUAACCUAAGCAACAACAAUCACAGGUGUAACUCAAAUGAAAAGACCAUUUUCAACCCUGAA